AAUUAGCUAAACAAAGAAAUCAUGGCGGAUUGUUUACAUUUGGCAGCGCCCGGGCUGCGCCGACCGCCGGCCCCGAGCCGCCGCAGGCCCCGAGGAGUCGGCCGAGCUGCCCCCGCGCCCUGGCCGGACAUUUGAAACUAUUACUUUGCUGAAAACGUCUGACUGUCAGUCUAGAAUUUGACGCUUAAGGGACUUACCAAUUUGGGCUUCUUCCAGGAGCUGAAAACCGAUUACAAAUAUGAAACAGAUUUCACUACUGGACUUGAAUGCUGCAUUAAAAAAAAAAAAAAAAAAAAAAAAAAAGCUCCUUAAAGUAAUUGAAAGAGAUCUUCACCAAAGAGUAACUGCAGUGUGAAUGGCAGGAUAUCAAGGAAGUAAGAG